GAAAAAUUGAACCUUGUUGUUUAGUUCAAUCCAACUAUAUCCAGGAUCCUUUCUAUACUGCAGUUUCUUCAUUGCUUUCCUCACUCUCAUCUUCUCCCACCACCUGCCAAUUCCUGCAUACAUAUUGGCCAUGAUAACGCAGCUGGAUGUAGAGUUGGGAUCCAAUGACAACAGUUUUUCUGCCACCCUCUCUCCAACUUCCACGUCCAUCCAGAACCAACAAGCAUUAAGCAGUGCAACAAAGAUAAUGCUGUCU
rnacentral:misc_RNA from 1 species